rnacentral:rRNA from 1 species
AUAAAGAUAAUACAGGUACUAUAAUUAUGUAUUCAAACCACUAUAAAAUGGCGGCAUUUUAUCUUUUUUAGAGGAACAUGUUUUUUAAUCGUCUCCACACGAUCAAUUUUACUACCCUUAAAAUUUUAUAUACCGCCAUUAAAUAAAUUUAUAAAAAAUAUUUUUUAAAAACAAGUCUAAAACAUUAGGUAAAGGUGUAAACAAUAGGUCAGAUAAAAUGUGUUACACUAAAAUUCAUUUAAGGAAAUUUCUUUAAAGCUAAAUUUGAAAAAGGAUUUAAAAGUAAUAUUUUCAUAAUAAGGCCAUAUGAAUAAAUUAGUAAAUGUGC